CUCCGGUUGAUCCGGCCGGACCUGACUGCUAUCGGAUUGGUACUAAGCCAUGCGAGUCAUUGUAGCAAUACAAGGCGGACGGCUCAGUAACACGUAGUCAACCUAACUCGUGGACGUGGAUAACCUCGGGAAACUGAGAAUAAACCACGAUAGAUCAUAGUGCCUGGAAUGGCUUAUGGUCCAAACAGUUUACUGCCAUGGGAUGGGACUGCGGCCUAUCAGCUUGUUGGUGAGGUAAUGGCCCACCAAGGCGAUUACAGGUACGGGCUCUGAGAGGAGAAGCCCGGAGAUGGGUACUGAGACACGGACCCAGGCCCUAUGGGGCGCAGCAGGCGAGAAACCUUAGCAAUGUGCGAAAGCACGACUGGGUCAGUCCGAGUGAUUCCUGAUAAAGGAGUCUUUUGCUUGUCCUAAAAGCACAGGCGAAUAAGGGGUGGGCAAGUCUGGUGUCAGCCGCCGCGGUAAUACCAGCACCUCGAGUGGUCAGGACGUUUAUUGGGCCUAAAGCAUCCGUAGCCGGCUCUGCAAGUCUUCGGUUAAAUCCAUCUGCUCAACAGAUGGGCUGCUGGAGAUACUACAGAGCUAGGGAGUGGGAGAGGCAGACGGUAUUCAGUGGGUAGGGGUAAAAUCCUCUGAUCCAUUGAGGACCACCAGUGGCGAAGGCGGUUUGCCAGAACACGUUCGACGGUGAGGGAUGAAAGCUGGGGGAGCAAACCGGAUUAGAUACCCGGGUAGUCCCAGCUGUAAACGAUGCAAACUCGGUGAUGCAUUGGCUUAUGGCUAAUGCAGUGCCGCAGGGAAGCCGUUAAGUUUGCCGCCUGGGAAGUACGGACGCAAGUCUGAAACUUAAAGGAAUUGGCGGGGGAGCA
rnacentral:rRNA from 1 species